UCGGACCUGUUGAUGGUUGUUGUUCUACUUGCGACCCAAAAUGUAAACUAAAAUAUUGUGGUUCCAAGUUGAUCUAUUUUCCUAAAGUGUACUAUAAAUUGGAUCUGUUAUUAUUUAUUAUUCGAUCCGUACGGUGGAUUUCCUGGCCUCGGUGCAUUGCUUUGUGCUACCUAUCUGUAAAAAGCCUGUUAAAUUGAUUUCAUCGGACAAUUCACGAAGUAAUAUCUAAACCAAUCGUAAUAAUGGCCUUCCGGCGUUUGCAGUCGGCGCGGAAUAUAGUAGCGUUUAAACAGCUAUGCGACAUCACUUUCCGGGCUCUUGCCGUUGCCGAAGAGUAAAAUCCCAGACAGAUGGAAACCCGGACGGAUAGUAUAUGAAAAUAUAUGGAAAAUGUGAUUCUUCAUGCAAGACUGCUCCUACAUUACAUCCCUUGAUGGACAUGUCACCGCUCCAAUUUUCAUCGCAGCUAACAAAUUUCAACUCGAAAAAUUCCUAGACCGGACCCAGCCUUCAGCAUGGUCCAGCCUGAUCCAACCACCUUCUUGAUCUUGGAUAGCUCCUCCCAGUGGGGAUGUAAUGUCAAUAAGAAGAAGAAGUUAUGUUUUACCUCAUUUUUCUUGGUGCAUUAUGCACUCUAGAGUUCAUUAUAAUUCAAUAACCGAAUUUAGAAGUAAAAAUAGACGAUUAAAUAAUUA